rnacentral:lncRNA from 1 species
CCAAUACUGAGCAUUUCCCAUUAGAUGGUAAGAAGCUAGAGUAACCUUUUCCUCUUCCGGCGUGUUCUGGUGUUUGAAAAAAUGCUCACAUCGUUGCAGCCAGGCUAAGGGAUCCUCUUCGCCACUGAAUUUGGGAAAAUCCAGUUUACUGAAUUUUGGAAGGAUUGAUGAGCCUUCGGAUGUACCUGAAAUGCCUUUGUUUCUAGAAGGCCGAAUUUGACUGCUGGCCUCAACAUCUGGUCCAGAAUUAGAGUUAGAAACAUCACGGGCAAUGGCUUCUAAUUUUGCGUUCAUCUCAUCUUGCCGGUUCUUGUUGUUUGCUUGUUCUUCCAAGAACAUUGAAAGGAUUCGAUCCAGCUGUUGUUGAAUGGUUUCACCCAUUACACCUGGCUCUGAUACCAAGUUGUCACAGGCCCUGGUUUGUAAACGGGUAAGGGGUCUUUGGUCAGGUUGGUGGGAGGAAGAAGAAGGGUUUUUAUCCUUUUUUCUACCUAUUUUGUAGACUUGAGAGAGAAUCUACAAUCUCUUGAGUUAAGUACUCAAAAACUGGGUUAAAUUUUUCUCCUUUAUUCAAAAAAUGCCUGCUGUUUAAAUACAGCAACAGAAACAAACAUCUCCUAUUAAGGAGGGAUUAUCAACUAUCUUGAGGAUUAUCCUCCUAUUUCUACUCAACAAAAUAAAUAAAGAAUAAAAAUAUUAACAAGAAAAUAAUAACAGCAGCAUAAAGAAUAAAAAUAUUAACAAGAAAAUAUUGCCUGACUUGUUCUUUACUCUCCAUUUGACUGAAUCUUCUUAGGUCCAUGGGUGAACCGUUUGUAGUGCUUAAGGCUAGUAACAUUAAUAUUGAUAGAUAGGUCAGUUGCUUAAUUAUAGGGAUCGUAUAAUUAUAGGCUUGAUUUUCCUUCAUGUUUAGAUACCGUCUCUCAUGUAUAAAUAGGUUGUAAUCUCUAUCGUGAAACAACAACAAAAUAUUAUAUUUCUACAUGGUAUCAGAGUUUUGUUCAUUUGGGUUACCCAUAAAGGGUAAUAUUUGGAGACUUAGGGCUCCUAUGUUUAUUUGGGUUACCAAUAAAGGGUAACAUUUGGAGAUUUUAGGGCUCUGUUCAUUUGGGUUACCCAUAGAGAGUAACAUUUGGAGACUUAAAACUCUGUUCAUUUAAACUACCAAGAAAGGUAACAUUUGGAGAUUUAAGGUUCUGUUAAUUUGGGUUAUCCAUAAAGGGUAACAUUUAGAGAUUUAGGACUUUGUUUAUUUGGGUUAAACAUAAAAGGUAACAUUUGGAGACUUAGGACUAUGUUCAUUGGGCACUGUUCAUCGGGUACUAUUCACCGGGUACUGUUCAUCGGUUACUGUUCACGGAUUCGAAAUUUUAUUCAUAGUAAGGUGAUUAGUCUUAUUAAUCACUCUAAAUUUGUUAAAGAAUUAAUGGAGAAUUUGAAAUUUCUAUAUUCUGGCAAAGGGAAUAUUUCCCAUAUUUAUGAUGUGUGUAAGGCGUUUUACCGAGCUGAGAAAAUGUGGUCUCCCGUUCUAGUGCUAAACCUGAAUGUUGAGUCAUGGCAAAAGCUGUUUGUGAAGUUUUGUGGUAUGUCAACUAUUGGAAGAAGUUGGGUUCACAAAUUCGGUGUCUGCUAAGUUAUAUGGGACUCGAGUUCAUUAUAUAUGUAACAAGUUGGACAUAAUUAACAUUUAUGCUCCAACUUGAGGGGGAGUGUUAUAGGUUAUAGGAAGUAAAUAUGUUAAUAUAGAAAAUAAAUAUUGAUAGAUAGGUCAGUUGCUUAAUUAUAGGGAUUGUAUAAUUAUAGGCUUGAUUUUCCUUCAUAUUUAGAUACCGUCUCUCAUGUAUAAAUAAGUUGUAAUCUCUAUUGUGAAACAACAACAAAAUAUUAUAUUUCUACAGGGAGAAAAAUAGUUAGAUGUUCCAAACAAAUCUACACAACCAUGAGAAUAAAAUAAGAAAAUAAAAAUCCACAAAUCCACAUGAGCUUAUAAUGAUGCAUAAAUUAACUUUCAGCAUUACUUUUGAAUCAUUUUCAUCGAAGAUUUCACCAACAAUCUCCUCAACAACAUCUUCCAGGGUUACUAUCUGCUUUGUCCACAGAAAUGAGAGAACAAAUAUUAGAUAACAUGAAUAUAAAACAUCACAAGCAUAAUUGGGUAUUUACAUUGCACUCAUACUUCUGUAUAGAGAAAAUAAUAAUAGAAGUUCAGAGAGUUCAGCUGACUGUUCAAUUACAUGGUGACAGUAAUCUGUCUUGUCUGUGUCAAUGUUAAACCUAAAUCUCCUAGAAAUCUUGUGUUAAAACACAUUAUAUUAGUGUCAGGUACCUCAGACUGACUAGAUUAGUGAUCAACAAUUGCCUAUAGAUAAUAUAGAUUUUUGCAUGCCCCUUUUCAGUAUUCAGUUGGGCCUUAUGACAUCAUAUUUUUCAUCUGAUAAGUGAAAAGUUCAUUGCUUUUGGAUGUACUUAAAAUCAUUAAAGUUCUGUUAAAUGAAGGUAUUACAUAACCUCCUAAACAAUGAAGAUUUUGAUAUUUGAAAAUUCUUGUUUCUUCCAUGUUUUUGCUUCAUUUAGUUGCAGUGUUACUUAGCAUGGAGCUAAUUUCCAUAGUAUCUUCUCCAUUGCAAGAUUCUUCAUGACUAAUAUCUUAACUUCCACUUUUGAAAAUAAUAAGAAUUUAAACAAACUUUUAAAUCACCAAGUAAAGAAUCUAAUAAUGACACAGGCUAUAUGUCAACCAUGAACUUCACUAUGAUGAAACAUCUAAUGUUAAUGAUCAGCUAAGGUUUGAACAUACUCCAAUAGUUCCACCAUAUUCAUUAAGAACAACAGCCAUGUGAACCUUCCUGAUGCGGAACUCCCUAAGAAGAUUCCAGACUGACAUUGAAUCUGCAAGGACACUAAUUGUACUCACUACAACUUCCAUGACAAAAUCAAUGAAAUCAAUAAAAAUCAUUCACCUAAAAUUCAAAACAAAAGAGAGCUUUCAGUGGAAUUACAGCAUUGUCAACAUCUUGAAGCACUUUAUCAAGAAAUAAGGUCCAUCCUUGACAGUUUUCCUUACAUCUUUAAUUCAGGGUACUCCAUAAAGCAGACAAUAACUUUAUUUUACUGAUUAACUCGACAACAAUCAAUGAAAUUUAUCAAAAUUUGAAAGAAAAUUCACAUUAUAGCACUAUCAUCUCAGACAACUCUCUGUCUGAACUUAGUGAAUGAAAUUUUUACAUAGCUAAAGUUCAAUUGGCCAGUCCAAGACCAAGUUAUAUUAUUUUUAACUUAAAAUUUUCAAUCUCAAUUUUUAUAACAUCUGACAAUGUUGAAUCCAGAUUCCAGACUGCCAAGCAUUCCUUUAGUAAUGGCCAUCCAAUAGCAAGUCAAAACCAAUAUCAGAG